rnacentral:rRNA from 1 species
AGAAACCCAUUUUGCNGGGCGGAUUAGUGGCAAACGGGGUGAGUAACACGUGAGCAACCUGCCCCUGACUCUGGGAUAAGCGCUGGAAACGGCGUCUAAUACUGGAUAUGUCCCGUCACCGCAUGGUGUGCGGGUGGAAAGAUUUUUCGGUUGGGGAUGGGCUCGCGGCCUAUCAGCUUGUUGGUGAGGUAAUGGCUCACCAAGGCGUCGACGGGUAGCCGGCCUGAGAGGGUGACCGGCCACACUGGGACUGAGACACGGCCCAGACUCCUACGGGAGGCAGCAGUGGGGAAUAUUGCACAAUGGGCGAAAGCCUGAUGCAGCAACGCCGCGUGAGGGAUGACGGCCUUCGGGUUGUAAACCUCUUUUAGCAGGGAAGAAGCGAAAGUGACGGUACCUGCAGAAAAAGCACCGGCUAACUACGUGCCAGCAGCCGCGGUAAUACGUAGGGUGCAAGCGUUAUCCGGAAUUAUUGGGCGUAAAGAGCUCGUAGGCGGUCUGUCGCGUCUGCUGUGAAAUCCCGAGGCUCAACCUCCGGCUUGCAGUGGGUACGGCAGACUAGAGUGCGGUAGGGGAGAUUGAAUUCUGGUGUAGCGGUGGAAUGCGCAAAUU